GCCCUUGUGGAGCACAGGUGAUCACUUCCUGCCUGACCACCGAAUGUUAUGUGGAAGAGACGUGGGUUCGAGUCCCACUGAGGGCA